GCCGUGCUUAGGACUUUAGAGGCC
rnacentral:siRNA from 1 species